CCAAGAAAGAAUGACGCUACAUUUCCCGCAAGGCCAAUGUGGGUGUAUGGAUCGAUAUGGGAUGCGUCAUCAUGGGCCACAGAGGAUGGAAAAUACAAAGCCGAUUACCGGUACCAACCAUUCAUAGGUAGGUACAAAAAUUUCAAGCUAGGCGGGUGCACCACCGAUGCAGCAGCCUCCUGCCGGCCACCCUCCAUCUCGCCGUCCUCCGCAGGAGGCCUGAGCCAACAGCAGUACUCAGCAAUGGAAUCGGUGCAGAAGAAUUACGUGGUUUACGACUAUUGCCAGGACCCCAAGAGAGACCACUCUCAGAUACCAGAGUGUUAGGUAGAUGUUGAUAAAAAGACUAAAGAGUGGGUUGGUUAUACACAGUUAUAAGUUGUUACUUAAGUUACAAAGACAGUUUGUUUUGGAGUGCAUUGUGAUGGGUCCAGCUUGCCAAGAACAGGUGCAAGAGUCGUUGAGCGCGCGUCCAAGCCUCCAAGAUUUGAAUCGCUUUUGUUGGAUUGUUGUUGGAAUAAAUUAUUUGCUUGCUAUUUUGGUUAAAGGAUAGGCGUGGGUGUGAGUGUGACAAAUGAG
rnacentral:lncRNA from 1 species